rnacentral:rRNA from 1 species
AACGAACGCUGGCGGCAUGCCUAACACAUGCAAGUCGAACGAGACCUUCGGGUCGAGUGUAGCACGGGUGCGUACCGCGGGGGAACCUGCCAUUAGGUUCGGAAUAACUCCGCGAAAAGGGUGCUAAUACCGGAUAAUGUCUGCGGACCAAAGCUUUAUCGCCUUUGGAUGGGCCCGCGUUGGGUUGGCUAGGGGGUAGGGUAAACGCUUACCACGGCGACGAUCCGUAGCUGGUCUGAGAGGAUGAUCAGCCACACUGGGACUGAGACACGGCCCAGACUCCUACGGGAGGCAGCAGUGGGGAAUAUUGGACAAGGGGCGAAAGGCUGAUCCAGCACGGCCGCGUGAGUGAUGAAGGCCUUAGGGUUGUAUAGCACUUUUAGCCGGGAUGAUAAUGACAGUACCGGGAGAAUAAGCACCGGCUAACUCCGUG